CCCCCCGGGCAGGCUGGGCCAUCCGCAGGACAGUGGGGGUGCAGGGGUGGGGUGUGGGGUACAGGGCUCCAGCUCACCUAUCCCAAGUCCAGGCCAGAUCUGAACAUGGAGGAAAUCCCUGGCUUCCACUGUGAUUCCUGAGCAAACGCGGCUCCUCCAGGGACACCCCUGCUCUGGCCCUCGGAAACCAGGACCUGCAGCCAUCGCUCACAAAAUUCAUCAGAGAGGUCCGGGGCCCCGUUUGGGAAGAGCCAGUCCUUCUGGGGAACCCUCACAGGAUGGCAAGCAGUCAGAGAACUGCAGCCAGAAGACUGGGCCGAGGAAGGACAUCCUGUGAUUCUGAGAGGACGAUAUUCCUGCCAGCACAGUUAUUGACUGCGGUUUGGGCCACCCUGACACCAGCCCUGUGCCCACUUCCCUCCCUACCUGGCUUCAGCAGCAGAUGCCAGCAUCUCUCCCGGCCUGCCACCCCCACCCCGUGGCCAGAGAGAUGGGAAGGACGGCAGAGCUCUCAGGCCCCCAGCUGCUCUGAGUUGCAGAGAAGGGGAACUGGACAGGAAGCCUAACCUGAUCCGUCAGGCCCCUUCCUUAUUUACUGUGAAACCCCUCAGGAUCGAUGCUCAUGGUCUGCGUGAGUUCCCAUUCACAACUACAGAUGGCCACGUUUUGUAUGGGAAGGAAGACAGGAUGAAGGAGAAUCAGUGGGGGUUCCUGUCUGAGUUUCCCCACAGAACCAGGAGACCCCUGAAGGCAGGAGUCUCUCCUCUCUGACCUCCAGAUCUUCCUCUGUAGCCCGGAGCUCUCACAGUGAUGGAGAUGGGAGGGAGCCUGAGUCAGGGCGCCACAUUGGCGAGCAAGUGUUGGGUCUACACAGAAUGAGAAGCUGACAUACCCGGAGAAGGUUCCCCACCGCUCCCCCAAAAUCAUGCCCCGCCCCCCCCCUUGAGCCCAGGACCUCCCUUCCUCCCCACCAUGAUGCGAUUGGCUCCUGACCCAACUUUCAAGUCAAACCAACAGGAUCAAGACUCUGACCAAAUGCUCUGUCAAAAUGACACCCCCCAAAAAAUCUCCCAUUGAGAAGAAUUAUGAGGACUUUUCAUUUAAAAAUAAUAAUAAUAAAAUGGAAUGGAAAUGAC